GCCUUCUUAGCUCAGUUGGUAGAGCGCAUGCCUAGUAAGCAUGAGGUCGUCAGUUCGAUUCUGGCAGAAGGCA